GACGAACGCUGGCGGCGUGCUUAACACAUGCAAGUCGAACGGAAAGGCCUUUUCGGAGGUACUCGAGUGGCGAACGGGGGAGUAACACGUGGGUGAUCUGCCCUGCACUCUGGGAUAAGCCUGGGAAACUGGGUCUAAUACCGGAUAGGACCGCACUUUAGCGUGUGUGGUGGAAAGUUUUUUCGGUGUAGGAUGAGCCCGCGGCCUAUCAGCUUGUUGGUGGGGUGAUGGCCUACCAAGGCGGCGACGGGUAGCCGGACUGAGAGGUUGGUCGGCCACAUUGGGACUGAGGUACGGCCCAGACUCCUACGGGAGGCAGCAGUGGGGAAUAUUGCACAAUGGGCGCAAGCCUGAUGCAGCGACGCCGCGUGGGGGAUGACGGCCUUCGGGUUGUAAACUCCUUUCGCCAGGGACGAAGCGUUUUGUGACGGUACCUGGAGAAGAAGCACCGGCUAACUACGUG
rnacentral:rRNA from 1 species